rnacentral:rRNA from 1 species
UUUGGAGAAGUUUGAUCCUGGCUCAGGACGAACGCUGGCGGCGUGCUUAACACAUGCAAGUCGAACGAUGAACCACUUCGGUGGGGAUUAGUGGCGAACGGGUGAGUAACACGUGGGCAAUCUGCCCUGCACUCUGGGACAAGCCCUGGAAACGGGGUCUAAUACCGGAUACUGAUCCUCGCAGGCAUCUGCGAGGUUCGAAAGCUCCGGCGGUGCAGGAUGAGCCCGCGGCCUAUCAGCUAGUUGGUGAGGUAACGGCUCACCAAGGCGACGACGGGUAGCCGGCCUGAGAGGGCGACCGGCCACACUGGGACUGAGACACGGCCCAGACUCCUACGGGAGGCAGCAGUGGGGAAUAUUGCACAAUGGGCGAAAGCCUGAUGCAGCGACGCCGCGUGAGGAUGACGGCCUUCGGGUUGU